rnacentral:lncRNA from 1 species
AAGAAUAUUUCAUUAAAUGUUAAUGAAAAGGGAACAUUCUUAAACUAUCAUGACAAUACAAAGACAGAUGACAUAUUUCAAAACUUUUCUUGUCUCUCAUGGUACAACUGAUUUUUAUAGUUUGUUCUUAUGUUGUACUGUCACAGGUCAGGAGGGGGGAUUGGGCGCCUGCUAACAUGUUUAACCCCACCACAUUUUGUAUGUAUGUGCCUGUCCAAAGUCAGGAGCCUGUAAUUCAGUGGUUUUCGUUUGUAGAUGUGUUAAAUAAUUGUUUUUCGUUCAUUUUUUGUACAUAAAUUAGGCCGUUAGUUUUCUCGUUUGAAUUGUUUUAGAUUUGUCAUUUCGGGGCCUUUUAUAGCUGACUAUGCGGUAUGGGCUUUGCCCAUUGUUGAAGGCUAUACGGUGACCUAUAGUUGUUAAUUUCUGUAUCAUUUGGUCUCUUGUGGAGAGUUGUCUCAUUGGCAAUCAUACCACAUCUUUUUUAUACACACACACAAACAUAUACAUUUGUAUAUAAAGAG